CCUACGGGAGGCAGCAGUGAGGAAUAUUGGUCAAUGGGCUUACGCCUGAACCAGCCAAGUCGCGUGAGGGAAGACUGCCCUAUGGGUUGUAAACCUCUUUUGUCAGGGAGCAACGCCGGCUACGUGUAGCCGGACUGAGAGUACCUGAAGAAAAAGCAUCGGCUAACUCCGUGCCAGCAGCCGCGGUAAUACGGAGGGUGCGAGCGUUAUCCGGAAUGACUGGGGGUAAAGGGUACGUAGGUGGUUUGACAAGUGGGUAGCGUAACUCCGGGGGUCAACUCCGGAACUGCUAGCAAAACUGGUGGACUCGAGUGCAAGAGAAGCAAGUGGAAUGUGGGGUGUAGCGGUGGAAUGCGUAGAUAUUAGGAAGAACACCGAUGGCGAAGGC
rnacentral:rRNA from 1 species